GAUGAACGCUGGCGGCGUGCCUAAUACAUGCAAGUCGAGCGAACAGACGAGGAGCUUGCUCCUCUGACGUUAGCGGCGGACGGGUGAGUAACACGUGGAUAACCUACCUAUAAGACUUGGAUAACUUCGGGAAACCGGAGCUAAUACCGGAUAAUAUAUUGAACCGCAUGGUUCAAUAGUGAAAGACGGUUUUGCUGUCACUUAUAGAUGGAUCCGCGCCGCAUUAGCUAGUUGGUAAGGUAACGGCUUACCAAGGCAACGAUGCGUAGCCGACCUGAGAGGGUGAUCGGCCACACUGGAACUGAGACACGGUCCAGACUCCUACGGGAGGCAGCAGUAGGGAAUCUUCCGCAAUGGGCGAAAGCCUGACGGAGCAACGCCGCGUGAGUGAUGAAGGUCUUCGGAUCGUAAAACUCUGUUAUUAGGGAAGAACAAAUGUGUAAGUAACUAUGCACGUCUUGACGGUACCUGAUCAGAAAGCCACGGCUAACUACGUG
rnacentral:rRNA from 1 species